rfam:Aequorivita sublithincola DSM 14238, complete genome.
AUUUACGUGAAUUUGAUGUUAAAUUCGCUGGAUUCAAAAUCCAGUGUUUUAGGACGUGCGGGUUCGAUUCCCGCCUCGAGUA